rnacentral:lncRNA from 1 species
CCGGCCGAAUGUUUUCAAUUUGAUAGAAACAAGUGACUCAAGGAAAGUGUUGACAGUUAUUAAAUUGAGUUUCCAUAUAAUAAGGGCAUAUAAUAGGUGACAAAUGACAGGUCCUGAGAGCUGCAUUUUGAAUAUUUGGAGGAUUUGGGGCACAUAUCUGGUAUUGGAACUUCUCUGAAUUGGAUUAGAACGCCGCGUGGCUCACGCCUGUAAUCCCAGCACUUUGGGAGGCUGAGGUGGGUGGAUCACGAGGUCAGGAGAUCGAGACCAUCCUGGCUAACACAGUGAAACCCCGUCUUUACUAAAAAUACACACUCAAAAAAAAUUAGCCGGGCGUGGUUGCAGGUGCCUGUAGUCCCAGCUACUAGGGAGGCUGAGGCAGGAGAAUGGCGUGAACCUCGGCGGCGGAGCUUGCAGUGAGCAGAGAUCGCGCCACUGCACUCCAGCCUGGGCGACAGAGCGAGACUCCGUCUCCAAAAAAAAGAAAGGGGAAAAAAAAAAAAAAGAAAGCUGUCAAGACCAUCCAGACCUGAAAAUACCUGAUAGGGGGAUGGGAAACAAAAACAUGACUUCUCACAGUAGAUCCUUAAUUGGUGAUCGAAAAUUGGUUUAAAAGUGUCCUAACUAAUCUUUUUUGAAGGGAAAGUCAGAAAUACAUUCAAACUCACAGUGUGUACCUCUGAGAGACAGUGGCUCAUUCAAGUAUCACUUAUCCAUUUGGGUCUUCAUUCAUUCACUCAUUCCCCAAAUCCUAACUGAGUACGUACUAUAAAACAGACACUUGCCAGGUAUUGGGGGAUGGAGGGUCUGAGUAGGGGUAAAGAUUAAUUAGGUAAUAAAAUCCAGAUUUCUUUUAAAAACAAUCAGAAAAUCUCACAAGGCUGGACCCACAUUCUCACACAAUAAUGAUUGCUGGCGCUGAGUCACUGGGGACCUACUAGGUGAAGCAGGAAUCCCUGAGUGCCUACAGCUCCCAUCCCCAAAGCUACAUCAUUACAGCAUUCCUUCAUGUUACCUACCUGUCAUUACCUAUGGACGUCUGAAUUCAUGAAUCUGAGCUCACGAAUUCUCAUUGAGAGAACCUUUCCAAUGAAAUACCCAUCGGAUGCCCUUUGCUGAGAGCCCGGAGUAGAACCAGUGCUAAAUUUCUAAGAGAGAGACAAAUACCUAAAUAACUCUAUUGCAAAAUAAAAGGUAUUAUCAGAAAGGGAAGGAUGAAAUGCUUUGAACAUUUAGGGGACAGGGAAAUUGUUUCUGGAGACUGGUACACAUCAGAAAUGGCUUCCUGGCAGAUGUAGCACCGAAUCUGGGACUUGAAUGAUUACAUUUUUUCCAUCAAUUCAACAAAUAUUUGCUAGAAGCCAGCUAGCCAGAAUGCUUUAUAGAAGAUGCACUCAGAAUUGGCUAGUUAUGAGGGAGCUGUUUGUCAACUGCUAAUUUUCUGUGGUUUGCUCUUCUUCCCUUUCCUUUUACAUUCACAAAUUGGGAAAGUUAAACUUGUAGAUCACUUUGGGGAUUGUCAAAGGGUGGCUUCUGGUAGAUACUGGUUUCUCCAAGCCAGGCAAACCUGCAUUCACUCAGCAUAUAUUUUCAAGUCUGGACUAUGUACCGUCCACUAUGACAGGAGUCAGAAAUACAGUGAUGAGUGCUGGCCCUGUCCCAUGUAAUUUACAGCCUUUUUGGAGAGAGAGGCAGUUUCAGUGACCUCACAAAUACAUGCAGGAGUGUAACUGUGAUGAGUACUGCAAAGGGAAGAGGGCCCUUGUUGCUAAAGGACUUAUAAGAGGAGUUGGCCAUGUCAGAAGGAUCAGGGAAGGCCUUACUGAGGCAUGAGGCUUCCUGGUGUGAAUAGCAGUUAACAGGUGGAGGGAGACCAGGUUCCAGGUGGAGGAAAUAACAUGUGUGUGGGCUCCUUUCCAGAAGAGCUGGAGAGAAGAGAGAUGAAAGGAAGGUGAUGCAGGAUGAAGCUGGAGGAGUAAGAAGGGGUUUGAUGAUAUAGCAGGCCCAGUCAAAGAAUCUUGUCUUUAUCCUAAGAGUCAAGAGAAGUUGCUGAGAAUUUUUAAGCAGGAAAGGGUGAUGAUCAUAUUUAUAUUUUGGAAAGAUCCUCCAACCUGCUCUCUGUGUUAAAACAGUUGAGUUCAUAUAUCUUCUGGCUGCAAUAAUGGGAAUGAACACAAGGCAGGACAGAGUACAUGGGGGGAGGCCGGUUAGCAAGCUAGUGUUGAGUUCAGAAGGAAGAUGAUGUUCUUUUGACUAGGAUGCUGGUGAUGGAGGGCAAUGAAAAAAUCUGAGAGAUAAAUAGGAGCUAAAUCAACAAUAUAAUGGGCUGAACAUGGAGGAGAAAAAAAGAAAAGAGUCAAACAUAUCUUCUAGGUUCCUCUCUGCCAUGCAUAAUUGGAUGGAUGGAAUACCAUUCACUAAAAUGAAUCACCACUUGGCUUUGUUCUAAGACUGCUGUGUACAGUUGUGUGAGUUGUGUACUACACCAGGGCAUCUGGCUAAUUAACAAAGGCAGAAGCUGAAAGUCAGCCCAUUCUCUGCUUGCCAAGACACAUAUCCCCAUGUAGGGUCAUGUCUACCCAGGUGGGAGGGGCAGCUUCUUAUAAUUUGCAAAAAAUAGCUAUCCAUUUGGCUAGAUAAAAAGUUAUACCUUUUAACCAGCAUUGCAGGCAUCCAAGAAGGCCCACAUAGGGUACUACGAGUGGGAGGGAGCACUAAAGGUGGUAAAGCCAGGGCCAGGAUACCUGGAUGGUAGAGACAAGGGCUGAAGAAGGUGAUGAGAAAAUGAGAGAGUGCAAAAAAUAUCAAGCUCAGUUUAUUUAUCCUGCAGUGGCUAUCUCUGGCAUUUCCUGGACUCCUGACCCACAGGGAGGGAUCCUGCCUGUGGCUCACCCUUCCUGUUAUUUUAAUUCUUUUGUUGGAUGCCUUUAAUGAAUGUAGACAUGGACACUCAUACAUCAGAGAGCAGAAGUACUUUAAGAACCAUCUAGCCCUACUCUUUCAUUACACGGAUGAGAACGCUGAGGUCCAGGGAAAUGGAAAGCUUUGCUCUGUCUCCUGCUGGGACAAGAUCCUUAAUCGCCUGAUUCCUCACAUCAUGCUGAUCUUUCCUCUAACAAGAAAUUGACUGAGCUUUCACAGACAACGAGGCAACACCUGAAAGAGCAAAGAUACCAAGUCAGAUUCAUCUGAGUUUGGAUCUCUGCUUGCCAUUCUUUGUUGUGUGAUUUUUGACAAGUUACUUAAUCUCUCCAAGCUUCACUUUCCCCACCUGUAAAAUGAAGAUUAAAAACACCUUGAAGGUGGGCUGUGAGGAUUAACGUAAAGCCUUUGGGAUAGGGUCUGAUAUUCACGAGCCACCAUCUAGACCACAUUCUCUACUUAUGUUGACUUCUCCAGCCCCUGUCUCUUCCCUACCCUUUCUCUAUUCUCAAAGGGUUUGCAGGGAUUCUGCAGAAAAUUUAUUCUUUGGAAAUUCUUUGUGGAACUCAACACAAAUUCAGCAUAUCAAAUAAACGAAAUAUUAAGAAAUGACUCUACCUUUUCCCCUAACCUUUCACUUAGGGUUCUGAUCCCUAAGAUGCAAAUGGCAAUUAACCCUGCACCCCACACUAGCCCUCUACCUCUCCCUAUGAUGACUCUGCACAGAUCUCAGGAAGCUUUAUGUGAAAAUAACACCUUGGAACUAGAAGCAGAAGGAACUAGAGAGGUUUCUGCUGGAAGCAUAAUAUAAAAGCCAGUUUUGAAGAAGGCGGGGGGUGGUGGGGGCUCAGAAAAAUGAGCGAUUACCAGAAGGAACUUUUUUUCUCCCAACAUGAUUUUUGAUGGCUCAUAGUUACUUUCAUUUGUUCCGUGACUUUGAGAGGCUGACAAAUAGCAGCCUCAUUCUGAAUGCCUAUUGUUACUCCUGAGGUUUUAUGUAGAGUAGAAAAGAUUGUUUUGAACGUUUCUCAUGGACAAGUGGAAGCUGUACUCUUGCUACAAAUGAUUCAUGUGGGAGAAAUGAUAUAUAAACAAGAUUGCCUGCUUGGAGAGUGGAUGAGAGGGUGAGUUAUUUCAGAAGGGCUCUUCACUUUCAUGCCAGCAAAUGAUAAAAGCUAGCUCUCAGAAUGGCAGGGGUGCUAUGGAAUGGAGGCUUCAGAAACUUUUUGACUCUUACAUUUUAUAGUCAAUGUCAAAAAAAUGUAUUAUAAAUUUCUGACUAAGUCCAGUUACUUUUUCAUGGUGAUGUAGCAAUAGGUUGAUUCAACCUUGGGCCUUGUCCUGUCAGUGUGUUGAGGCUGAAAGAGCCUGGGUUCUGGAAGCUGAGCCUCUGGGGUAAGGUAGGUGCCUAAGGGGCAAAAUUUCAGGAGGCACCUACUCUCAGGGUCAUACAGGCACAGAGUCAGCACUUGCACAAUCCUGUAAGUGAGUGCCUCCUUAAAUUUUGCCCUCUGGGUCACCCUCUUUUCUCACCCAAAUCCGGGCCCUGGAAUUGAAUUAGAAUCAAGACUCCAUCACUUAUUGGUGGUGCAACUUUAGGGAAUCAGUUAGGAUUAGUCUUGGCUAUAACAGAAAAAAGCCAAGUGAGAGUGGCUUAUUUCUCUAUUACAUAAAAAUCUAGAGCAAUACAGGACAGGGCUGGCAUAAUGUCCCCAUUGCAUAAAGUCAUCAGAUCCUAGUUCCUUCCAGUGCACUUUUCUGCCAUUCCAAGGGUUUUGCCUUCAUGAUUCAAAAUGACACAUCCACAUUCUAGGCAGCAGGAUGGAGGAAGGUGACUAAACCAUGUGACUAUAUUACUGAUUUUUAAAAUAUAACAAAAUUAUAAUUAUAAACAUGUAGAAUAGAUUGUAAAAGCCCAAACAAUACAAAAAUAAAAUAUAUUUUUGGAUUGUUAAAUCACCUAUAAUUGUUAUUUCUAUCAGCCCCACUCCAAAUUCCCAGCCUAAGCAUCUAGUUUAUUGCAACUAUUAAGGACUGAGCCAGUCUUGAUUCCCACAAUUGAAAAUGUUUUCAGAAGGAAUUAUUCUUAUGGAAGCUCAUAAAAUGUUCUUAAACCCAUAGGUUUGAAAAUAAGAAAAUUAUCUAGAGUGGAGUGGUAGACAGCUGAGUUAUCUGCCUGCCCAGCACUCACUUCCCAUUCUGGCAGGCAUACUUCAAUUUUGGUUUGGGGAACAAACUACCAGGUUCCUUUGCUUACAGACUUGGUAGAAAUUGUCAUUUGGGCUACAGAUGGGAAGACGUAGAAAUGUAACUCAAACUAGGACCAUAAUAUCCCUCUCUCUUCGAAUAAUUUGUCUCUUGGAUAUGGUUAAAAAGCAUAGACAUAUGACUGGGGAUCAUUUUCUCUAACAGAGACAUGGAACUCAAACAAAUUCCCUGAGCUGCUUUGGAUCCUGUUCUUUCUGAGGCCUGAUACUUCAGCGUCUUCAAAUCUAAUUUGCAAUGCCCCAUAUCCUUCCAGUACACCUCUUCUAUUUAAGUUACCUAGAGUCCAUUUAUGUUGCUUGCAAUCAAGAACCCUAACUGACAAAAGAAGCUAUUCACUUUUCUACCCAAAUAUUUGAAAUUAUACAGGUUGGUCUCUCCUACCUUGUUAAUUAUACCUGUUUUCUUCUCCAGCUUUUCCCAGGUGAGGCCAUUAAUGCCUCCACCCAUAGGCUUAACCCUGCCCUGUUUCUGAGCCAACUCUAAAGUGAGUGAGUUCCCUGAGCCAAGCACUCCGCAGCUCCAUCGCAGCGUGGGCCUCUUGGAAAUUCGGUGCUAGUUCUCAAGGCCUCCUACCUGCUGAACCUUAGUCUUCAUUGCUGAAAUAAGAGCUGUCCUGCAAACAGAGUUUGGCGCUCGCUUUCUGGCCUCCGGCUGGUGGAGCAAGGACGUUUCCAGCACAUAAGAUUCCCCACUCUGUUAAAAAAAAAUGUGUUUAUACUUGGUCCCCUCUGAAGGCGGACGACACCCAUACUUUUGUCCCAGCCCAAUUUGCUGGCUGGGAUUUUUCUCAUCCUUUAAAUCCCGGGAAGCAAGGAACCUGCCCUCUGGCGCCAUCUACCGGCACUGUUUUUCGAGUCCAAGGAGCCCCCUGCGGAGUUGGGAUGUGUUUAGUAAUUGAUUGGAUGAAUCCUGCCACUUCGUUAGUAGAUUCUUAUUUUCUUCACGGACUCUUUACUAAUUAGUAAAGAGAUUAUAUAGCAAAUAUAUUAUCUUACUUUAAAGAGACCAGAGUCUCCUAUCUCUCGCUUCCCCCACCCCAUCAGUUGUGGCAUUCCUUCAUCUUUAAUUUCUUCCUUCGAAAAAUAUUUAUUUUGUUAUUGUAUAGAGAUCAGGGCAUGGGCCACACAGCUGCACACCUGAGCAAACAGAGGGGCUGACUGAUUUGCUGUUGUAAUGAAAAACAUUAGUUUUGGGUUCAUUACUGUGAUUCCACAAUGGGCACCAAAUCCCACUUAAGACCCACCGAAGAAGUCUUCAAAGGGACACGGUUUCAGGUCUGUGCCUGGUGAGCGUGCUGCCUCUUCGAAUCUUUGCACAGAAAUAACCUACGGUUGAAGACUCAGACCUGUCAGAUCAAAACCAACCCUGGCCUCCAGACCUUGAAACAAGUCAAAACAGUGAACCUUACUCAUCCGUUUUCAAAAUAUGGCCUGUUUUCUUUACAAAAUGCAGCAAAGCCUCUCAGAUGGGCGCUGGCUGCAAUAUUUGAUAUAUUAGGGAGAAUCCUGACUCCUUCCAGGUUUCUGCCCAUCUGUUUUAAAUCCAAAUGGCUUGGCAGAGGAUGGUUUUUAGUUAUGUAUUUUUUUCAUUUCAAAUGGAAUUUAAAACAGCAGGGGCAGAAAGCCCAGAUAUGGAUGAGAGAGAAAAUAAAAAGGCCCCUGUAAUUCCCCAUUCGCCUUCUACAUGAAGGAAAAAAUAUCGGCAUUUGUUGUAAACCUACUAUGUGUCAAGGUAUCACUAGGGAGUGUGAUGUUGCUGAGCCAUUGGAAUUUUAUAAAAUUUUAAAUGUUUUUCAUUUUCUUCUUCAGAGGUGGUUUGAUUUCAUGAUCAAGAGCUUGAACUUAAAGUCAAAUCCUUCUCCUGCCUCCUGCAGUCAUGGGGCCUUAGCUAUUCUCUGUAAUGACUCUAGGUCUCAGUUUCCUUGCCUGAGAACAGGCCUGUGAUAAUUACCUUGAUGGGCUAUUGUCAGUUUUAAAUAAGGUAGUGCAGAGGCAACUACCACAGGAAUGGUUCUGCCUUAAGAAUGAACUACGUGUGCAUGUGUCUUUAUAGCAGCAUGAUUUAUAGUCCUUUGGGUAUAUACCCAGUAAUGGGAUGGCUGGGUCAAAUGGUAUUUCUGGUUCUAGAUCCCUGAGGAAUCGCCACACUGACUUCCACAAUGGUUCAACUAGUUUACAGUCCCA